GUCGGCAGCGGCGGCUUACCUGGGCGCUGCACUCUGGACCGCCGCCUAAUCAUCUGGCCUCAAGUCAGGCAGGACAGCUGGGCCCUCAAAGGACCCAGCGCAUCUGCACCGCUGCAGGAAGACGAAGAGGAGGAUGAAGGAGCAGGAACUAAUCGCUCUCCUCGUCUGAUGGGAUGUGCAUAACGAUCCGGCAUCCUGCACUGGCGAGGAGCGGCGGCGAUGUUCUGCAGGAUUAGAAACGUUGAUGUCUGAUCGGUAGUGAUGACGGCGAUGACAACCUGGCGCACGGCGGCGACGCGGGAGAGCAGAUGAUUCUCACAGAUGGUGGAGAAACUUAAAGCUGGCCAUGACUCAUCCCAGUCACCACCUCAACUUUGGCAUGAAUCCCGAUCACGCCCGCAACUCGCUGUCCAACUGUGGCAUCCGCCAACCGAAAUACGGCGACAGGAAGGUCCACCACAUGUACAUGAGGAAAAAAGUAAAACCAGGAGGCUGAAUGUGGAGGCGUUCCCAGUCCAGCCAGGAGACCUCCAGCGUGUCCUGGGCCUCCUCCCAGUGGGACGUGCCCAGAACACCUCACUAAGAACUGAAAUUU